rnacentral:tRNA from 1 species
GGCACCAUAGCCAAGUGGUAAGGCACGGGCCUGCAAAGCCUUGACCCCCAGUUCAAGUCUGGGUGGUGCCUCCA